rnacentral:pre_miRNA from 1 species
CAGCCACAGAAUAGCUUAUUCUAUGGCCACCUGAAUUUACUAUCAUGAUUCUACUGAUUUUACAAGACUGUGAAUACAUAUUUAUGAUACAAAUGUGUUACCAUAACUAGUGAUGAUAUUUACCAUCAUCUGAUAGUAAAUCACUUGAGGGUAGUGCAGUAAAUCUCUGCAUUUGUUAUGGUAAAUAGAUGAUGAUAAAUAUCAUCACUAGUGAUAGUAAUAUACUUGUAUCGUAAAUAUGUAUCCACAGUCUCGUAAAAUCAGUAGAAUCGUGAUAGUAAAUUCAGGUGGCCAUAGAAUAAGCUAUUCUGUGGCUG